GGGUGCUGUUCGAGCUAGGGCUCACGUAAGACAAUAGCUCAAGCUUUAUAUAUCAGUUGUAAAUUGUCAUUAAAUCAAUGAUUUCCUCUCCCUGUUUUCUCUCACUUUGGGUAUCGCGAUUGUGGGAUAUAAGAUUUAUUCUAUAGUCAUGAGAAUACGUGAAGCAGCGCGUUCUCAUGAAAAAUUCCGAAGGAGGAUCAGGUACUGCUAGUUUCUAAUUACAGAAUGUCUAAACAAGGUCUUAGUUUUAUGUUUUCUGGUUGAUGGCUUGAAAAACUGGAGAUAUCUUUGCAAUAACCUGUUACCGAAUAUCUUCUUAUUUGUCUCGA
rnacentral:misc_RNA from 1 species